AUGAUUCUUCGGUUCUUAAGUGUGAUGAUUGGGUGUUCAUGCUCUUGUGUGAGAUGUGCUUCCCUCUAAACCUUGUUAUGACAUUGGCACAUUACCCAUUCUGACA
rfam:Ictidomys tridecemlineatus contig046016, whole genome shotgun sequence.